rnacentral:rRNA from 1 species
UACGGGGGGAGCAAGCGUUGUUCGGAUUUACUGGGCGUAAAGGGCGCGUAGGCGGCGCAACAAGUCACUUGUGAAAUCUCCGGGCUUAACUCGGAAAGGUCAAGUGAUACUGUUGUGCUAGAGUGCGGAAGGGGCAACUGGAAUUCUCGGUGUAGCGGUGAAAUGCUUAGAGAUGAUGUAGAACACCGAUUGCGAAGGCAGCUUACUAAACAGAUAUUGACGCUGAGGCACGAAAGCGUGGGGAUCAAACAGG